rnacentral:rRNA from 1 species
UACAGAGGUCUCAAGCGUUGUUCGGAUUCAUUGGGCGUAAAGGGUGCGUAGGCGGCGCGGUAAGUCGGGUGUGAAAUCUCGGAGCUUAACUCCGAAACUGCAUUCGAUACUGCCGUGCUUGAGGACUGGAGAGGAGACUGGAAUUUACGGUGUAGCGGUGAGAUGCGUAGAUAUCGGGAGGAACACCAGUAGCGAAGGCGGCACUCUGGGCCGGUACUGACGCUGAGGAGCGAAAGCCAGGGGAGCAAACGGG